rnacentral:rRNA from 1 species
AACGAACGCUGGCGGCAGGCUUAACACAUGCAAGUCGAACGCAUCCUUCGGGGUGAGUGGCAGACGGGUGAGUAACGCGUGGGAACGUGCCCUUCAGUUCGGGAUAACCCAGGGAAACUUGGGCUAAUACCGGAUACGUGCGGGAGCAGAAAGAUUUAUCGCUGAAGGAUCGGCCCGCGUCUGAUUAGCUAGUUGGUGGGGUAAUGGCCCACCAAGGCGACGAUCAGUAGCUGGUCUGAGAGGAUGAUCAGCCACAUUGGGACUGAGACACGGCCCAAACUCCUACGGGAGGCAGCAGUGGGGAAUAUUGGACAAUGGGCGCAAGCCUGAUCCAGCCAUGCCGCGUGAGUGAUGAAGGCCUUAGGGUUGUAAAGCUCUUUCGUCCGGGACGAUAAUGACGGUACCGGAAGGAGAAGCCCCGGCUAACUUCGUGCCAGCCGCCGCGGUAA